CCCUGGCCUUGUAGUGAGGUUAGGAGCGGCGGCCAUUUUCCGCUGGUCUCGACUCUGCUUUCCUUUUAUUAUUCCCACAAGGCAGCAAGAACAGAGACAGCAAUUGUUGUGUGUCUGGUAGCAGGUUAAUGGAUAAGAAAGGUGUUUCAGUAACAUCGUGCAGGGUUCUCUCACAAAGUCUGGCCUCGGGCGAGUGUACACAUGCACCCACGAUCCAUUCACUUCUAUGGGAAAGCUGCGGCUGCAAAUGGAUCACAACCUCUCAUGGCAUAACGCAUUGAGGGAGCAAAUGCUGCAAGGAGGUAGCAGGACGCAUCUGUAAUAAAGGCACAGUGUUUCAAAAAUAA